GCCUGCUACAGCAGCACUGGUUUUGCUGGAAAAAUCAUCAUUUAGCUAGAGUCAGACAUGUAUCCUAAAUAUAACUCAGGGACCUCUGGGACUCUGGGCUUUGGCACUGUUGUUUGUAGCUACCAAAGGCAGAAAAAAAUAGAACCAACUUACAAUAUGUAGUUCUGGCCCUCAAAAUGUGAAGUCAGUUACAUUUGUCUUUGGUUACCCUCCCAUCUCCCCUUUCAUUUCUUCAACAAACAUUUCUUUGAGGACCCACCAUCUUCCAGAAGCUGUGCUAACCCUGGGACCUCCAAGGAAGAGAGGCAAGACUUUCGAUCUGGAGUAGAGACAAUGAAGAUACUAACUCACUCCUCACAAAUGACGUGACAACAGUAGCUCUCACCUAUUCAGCAUUUGGGAGACAUCACUCUAUCCACGGAAAGAUGCUACAAUCAAAAGAAGAGGAUCAUCCUGGAGAUCGGGAGGAAUUCUCC